GGUGGCUCAGUGAUAGAGUGCUUGCCUUGCAUGCAUGAGGACCUGGGUUCGAUUCCUUAGCACCA
rfam:Dipodomys ordii contig_73210, whole genome shotgun sequence.